ensembl:lncRNA
CUAACAGUGAUUUCAUUCGUUCAUUUUCCCAGCAUUCCAGAGAACUACAGGCUUGGAAUGCAUGUGUUUGGGCUCCUUGCAUGCUGUGAUAACUUAAAAGACAUGGAUGAUGUUGUCCAUAGUGCAGCAAUAGUGUUUUGCAGUCCUUGUAGUGGAAGGAACGUAACAAAACACUACAACAACUUGAAAAUCCUUAUGCAAAAAAGGGGGACCCUGGAUUUGGAUGAAAAGACUGUGAUUGCUGAGGACUACAAGACUGAUGUUCAGAAUGCCCCUUGAAGACCCAUUUCCAGGCAAUUGUUGACAAUGCAACACUGGACUGUGAGGGUGAAAGAAACAUCUUUCAUGCACCCAAAUUUAUUGCCGGUCUGGUAAAUCACCUUCUACCACAUGCAACUUUGUGGUCAUCAAUGAUGCUCGGGGAUCUUGGACAUCAUGGUACUGGUCCUGCUUACCAGCAGCUCAGUAAACUCUAUAGUGACAUUCAGCAAUCCAAGAACCAGAAUUUUACACAAGACAACAGAACCCAAGGAAUCAUGGAGAAAAGCC